UACGGAGGGUGCUAGCGUUGUUCGGAAUCACUGGGCGUAAAGCGCGCGUAGGCGGUUUUGUAAGUCGGGUGUGAAAUCCCCAGGCUCAACCUGGGAACUGCAUUCGAGACUGCAUAGCUAGAGUAUGGGAGAGGGAAGUGGAAUUUCAGGUGUAGCGGUGAAAUGCGUAGAUAUCUGAAGGAACAUCAGUGGCGAAAGCGACUUCCUGGACCAAUACUGACGCUCAUGUGCGAAAGCGUGGGGAGCAAACAGG
rnacentral:rRNA from 1 species